ensembl:snoRNA
GGGCAGGUAGAAGAUCUACUCAUUAUGCAGCCACUUAAGAAAAGCCCCUUAAGAGCAGGAAUACCUCCAUAACAUGCUACAUAAAAGGAGUUCUCAGGGCUGCCAACCUUACAGUAGAGGUUGAGUAGUAGUAUAUUUCUCCUACAUAG